CUUGGUCAUUUAGAGGAAGUAAAAGUCGUAACAAGGUCUCCGUAGGUGAACCUGCGGAGGGAUCAUUAACGAAUGGCCUUUGGCCUUCGACCUUGUAAACCUGUGGAAGGAAGAUUGCUUCGGCGCUUUCGGUGCCGGGUCUAUGCCGUAAAGCAUUUGUCUGAAUCAACCAUAAGUUUAAAACUUUCAACAAAGGAUCUCUUGGCUCUCGCAUCGAUGAAGAACGCAGCGAAGCGCGAAAUGUAGUGUGAAUCGCAGAAAAUUGUGAAUCAUCGAAUCUUUGAACGCACAUUGCGCUUCCUUUCCGGGAGGCAUGCCUGUCUGAGCGUCGUUUAAACCAUAGUCCCCCAAAGGGUCUGUCUUGGGCAUCGUCUGCGGGCGUAGCCUCGAAGCGAUCGGUCUGAAGAGCGGAUGAAAUCCAUUAGGACGGACCGUUCCGGGACCUUAAACUUUGAAUUUGACCUCAGAUCAGGUAGGACUACCGCCUGAACUUAAGCAUAUCAAUAAGCGGAGGA
rnacentral:rRNA from 1 species